rnacentral:rRNA from 1 species
GCGUGAUGACGAGGCACUGCGGUGCUGAAGCAACAAAUGCCCUGCUUCCAGGAAAAGCCUCUAAGCAUCAGGUAACAUCAAAUCGUACCCCAAACCGACACAGGUGGUCAGGUAGAGAAUACCAAGGCGCUUGAGAGAACUCGGGUGAAGGAACUAGGCAAAAUGGUGCCGUAACUUCGGGAGAAGGCACGCUGAUAUGUAGGUGAAGUCCCUCGCGGAUGGAGCUGAAAUCAGUCGAAGAUACCAGCUGGCUGCAACUGUUUAUUAAAAACACAGCACUGUGCAAACACGAAAGUGGACGUAUACGGUGUGACGCCUGCCCGGUGCCGGAAGGUUAAUUGAUGGGGUUAGCGCAAGCGAAGCUCUUGAUCGAAGCCCCGGUAAACGGCGGCCGUAACUAUAACGGUCCUAAGGUAGCGAAAUUCCUUGUCGGGUAAGUUCCGACCUGCACGAAUGGCGUAAUGAUGGCCAGGCUGUCUCCACCCGAGACUCAGUGAAAUUGAACUCGCUGUGAAGAUGCAGUGUACCCGCGGCAAGACGGAAAGACCCCGUGAACCUUUACUAUAGCUUGACACUGAACAUUGAGCCUUGAUGUGUAGGAUAGGUGGGAGGCUUUGAAGUGUGGACGCCAGUCUGCAUGGAGCCGACCUUGAAAUACCACCCUUUAAUGUUUGAUGUUCUAACGUUGACCCGUAAUCCGGGUUGCGGACAGUGUCUGGUGGGUAGUUUGACUGGGGCGGUCUCCUCCUAAAGAGUAACGGAGGAGCACGAAGGUUGGCUAAUCCUGGUCGGACAUCAGGAGGUUAGUGCAAUGGCAUAAGCCAGCUUGACUGCGAGCGUGACGGCGCGAGCAGGUGCGAAAGCAGGUCAUAGUGAUCCGGUGGUUCUGAAUGGAAGGGCCAUCGCUCAACGGAUAAAAGGUACUCCGGGGAUAACAGGCUGAUACCGCCCAAGAGUUCAUAUCGACGGCGGUGUUUGGCACCUCGAUGUCGGCUCAUCACAUCCUGGGGCUGAAGUAGGUCCCAAGGGUAUGGCUGUUCGCCAUUUAAAGUGGUACGCGAGCUGGGUUUAGAACGUCGUGAGACAGUUCGGUCCCUAUCUGCCGUGGGCGCUGGAGAACUGAGGGGGGCUGCUCCUAGUACGAGAGGACCGGAGUGGACGCAUCACUGGUGUUCGGGUUGUCAUGCCAAUGGCACUGCCCGGUAGCUAAAUGCGGAAGAGAUAAGUGCUGAAAGCAUCUAAGCACGAAACUUGCC